rnacentral:snRNA from 1 species
GGAUGUGAGGGCAAUCUGGCUGCAACAUCUGCCACCCCAUUGAUUGCCAGGGUUUAUGCGGCUGAUCUGGCUGGCUAGGUGGGUGUCCCCUUCCUCCCUCACCACUCCAUGUGUGUCCCUCCUGAAGCUGCGUGCUUGGUCAAAGAGGACGGCCUUCCCUGAAUAGAGACGGACUGGCCUUUGGUCAAGGGUAUAUGAGUAGCUGCACUCCCCUGCUAGAACCUCCAAACAAGCUCUCAAGCUCCUGGUUUCCAUAUGCAGAAGGAAGCUUCAUGAGUGGUGAAGAAAUGCUGCAGGUGUCUCUCUUUCUAGCUUCUCCU